UGAUACGUAGGGUCCGAGCGUUGUCCGGAAUUAUUGGGCGUAAAGGGCUUGUAGGCGGUCUGUCACGUCGGAAGUGAAAACUCAGGGCUUAACCCUGAGCCUGCUUCCGAUACGGGCAGACUAGAGGGAUGCAGGGGAGAACGGAAUUCCUGGUGGAGCGGUGGAAUGCGCAGAUAUCAGGAGGAACACCGGUGGCGA
rnacentral:rRNA from 1 species